rnacentral:rRNA from 1 species
GACGGAGGAUGGCAAGUGUUAUCCGGAAUCACUGGGCGUAAAAGCGUCUGUAGGUGGUUUAAUAAGUCAAACUGUUAAAUCUUGAGGGCUCAACCUCAAAAUCGCAGUCGAAACUAUUAGGCUAGAGUAUAGUAGGGGUAAAGGGAAUUUCCAGUGGAGCGGUGGAAAUGACGUAGAGAUUGGAAAGAACACCGAUGGCGAAGGCAC